GGCUCUAUGGUCUAGUGGUAUGAUGUGAGUCUAACUAUCCCAGCCCUGGACUUGAGAGUAAUAACUAAUAUUGAACAGCCUGCUUUGGGUUUCUUAGAGUCAAAAAAGCUGGAGGUCCCGCGUUCGACCCGCGGUAGAGCCC